UCAUCAAAUGGCCUCUUCACCGACUUUGCUGAGGACUUUUACUUUAAAACCCACAAAAAUUUAAGGUGAUUUGAAUAGCUUUGGACAGUUUUUUUUUUGGUGGCAUUUUGAUCUGUAGGUUUUGUUUUAUCUUCCUAACAAUGUUUUAACAGUGAGUUUUCUUUUGUCUUCGUAAUGUUUAAGAAAUGUUCCUUCAUCCCAUCUGUAUCUCUCUCAGUUCUGUGCUGCCGUGGGAGUUGGGUCAGAACAUUUAUUGGAGACCUCAGGGGUGUACUAGUGCCCUGCCUCGUGUGGACUGCUGACCCUUGGAGGGCAGGGAUAAAGGAGAACGUGGGAGGACUGAGGACAGAUGUUGGUGUGGGGAGUUCUGGAGCGGACCCCUUGUGAGCAUGUUAGGACCCAGCAAACCGGAAUGCCUUCUCAGCUUCCUGAAGAACAAGGCAGGUGGAUGAAGAGGGGUUGCCCCUGACAGCCCUGCUCCUGACCUUGCUCAAGGAAGACCUUCAAUACCCACCUCCAUCUGACUGAGUUCUGUUAAGGAAGAUAACACUCACAUCUUUGGCUCUCUUCACGAGUGGAGUAAGCCUUCCAUUCUUCAAAGGGAGAACUCCCAGAAGCCAGCAGUGCCCUUGACAAAACCAGCUCAAACUCAAGCUGACAAGCACUUGACUGGGACCAUCACAUCAUUCUUCAGUGACAGGGUCCUGAGCAAGAGGGGCCGGGGAUCAGAGGUAAAGAAGAUAAAACAGGUGAGUUCAGAAGGCCUUUCUUAAACUGUGACUUAUGCCAAGCAAACUUAAGAAGUUCAGCAUCUUAUUUAUAUACUAUUCACAGGGGAAAAUGGAACUGAGUCAGUGAAAAGUUAGCAUCCAAUGGGACAGAGUCAAGUGGGGCCUAAUCAAGGACACAUGGUAAUACAAGGGGAACACAGGCUAUCUCAAGGGCAUCACAGACUGAGCCCACAGUGGCUUUGGGAAUGAUAACUCCAGUCUCUUUUGGGGAAUAAACCAAGUUUCCAGGAACUGAAACAUUAAUUCCUUUGAGGCCCUGGUCUUAGGCUCAGACUGGACCUUGCCAAGUGUGCCCCUGGGCAAGGACAAAGAACUAAGUUCAUCAGGAGCCCCGGGAAAGCCUUGUAUAGAUUCAGCUUUCCAUGAACACUUGCUGUGGUCAGCCAAGACAGGAGAGUCCAACAGGCAGAAGCAGCAGUCUACUAUUAUAAUCUGCACGUCCAUGGCUGUUAGUAAUUAUUGUACUUCUAUGUCAUCUACAGCUCCUCUUCUGCUCAGUUUUAAAUUAGAUUGUUUUCUUAUUGAGAUUUGACCUUCUUUUUUUUUUAAAGAUUUAUUUAUUUAUCAUAUAUAAGCACACUGUAGCUGUCUUCAGACACACCAGAAGAGGGCAUCUGAUUUCAUUACAGAUGGUUGUGAGCCACCAUGUGGUUGCUGGGAUUUGAACUCAGGACCUCUGGAAGAGCAGUCGAUGCUCUUAACCGCUGAGCCAUCUCUCCAGUCUGAGAUUUGACCUUCUUGUCUGUGGUCUGGAUAUCAGUCUCUUGUCAGGAGCAAACAAGGUCUUUGGGAAAACGAACUCAGAAUAGCUACUUCCAGCUCGUAUCCAAAGGGGAUAGAAUCAAGAAGAAAAGAGUCCGUGGCAUGCUCAGAAAUUUACUGGAAAGAGUCAAGCUGAGAAAACCAUUCAACUGCAAAGACACACUACCUUACCUGGGUGAGGAAGGAUAACUUGGAGAGGAACUGAGAUCCCAAAUUACAGAGCCAGGAACCAUGGAGGAUCCAAGGGACUUCCAACGUUCAGAAGAUGGCUUUCUCAAAUCAAGAAGACCCUCACCAGAACCUGCUGGUAGCCAAUGAGAGUUUCUAGGCUCUGAAACUGUAUUGUUGUGCUCGGAAUGCUGCAGCCUCCAUCUUGAGACUCCACCCAACACCAAUACAGGCAAGAGGAGCAGAGGGUGUCCAACUCCUACACAUGGGCCGCUAAACUUCCCCCAGCCAACCAAAAAGCUGGUUUUUAGUUAAAAAUACUGUCUGCUGAUAAAAGAAAUAAGG